GAUGAACGCUGGCGGCGUGCCUAACACAUGCAAGUCGAGCGAAGCGCCUUACUUGAUUUCUUCGGGAUGAAAGUAUUGUGACUGAGCGGGCGACGGGUGAGUAACGCGUGGAGUAACCUGCCUCAUACAGGGGGAUAACAGUUAGAAAUGACUGCUAAUACCGCAUAAGACCACAGCACCGCAUGGUGCAGGGGUAAAAACUCCGGUGGUAUGAGAUGGAUCCGCGUCUGAUUAGCUAGUUGGUAAGGUAAUGGCUUACCAAGGCAACGAUCAGUAGCCGACCUGAGGGGGUGACCGGCCACAUUGGGACUGAGACGCGGCCCAA
rnacentral:rRNA from 1 species